rnacentral:lncRNA from 10 species
ACGAAGGUAAUUGUCAAUACGUAGUAUUAAUUGUCUACCACUUUUAUUCAAUAUAAUACAGUGGUUGGGUUUGGUAGGGAAAUCCAGUGACUUUAUGUAUAAGUAUAAAUAGUUUCAUGUUUUUAUAGCUUAAAAGAAUGUUUCCAGAUUUAUAAAAAACAAUGAUAUUUAAGACUGGGGAGGAAUUGGCCAAAGGGAAAGGCAAAUAAAUUAUUAGAAUAGGCUAUAUUGCUCAGAAACAGAAACACAGUACACAGAGAUUAUUAAUAUGCAGUCCAAUGAGAAAAAAUUGACAAUUAAAAAAUGUUUCUGAGACAAUUAGUUAAACCUCUGUGAGUCUGGCUGAGUCCAGGGGUUUUUGUGGGCUUCAGAAGGGAGGAGGUGCAUGCUGAUUGGUCUAUGGGUAACCAUGGGUGGGCCCUAAAAAGCACCGUAAGUUCUCGCUCUUGGCACAGAUUCCACCUGCAACUGGCAGCCUGGGCCCCAUGCUUCAGGCCAUCCCUAAGUACAAGUUUUAAAGUAGGCAUUAAUGAAAAUAUCAUUAGUCACAUACUAUGUCUGCCCAGUGAUAUCAUUUAACACACUGUAGAAAGUUUCUUCUUUACACACUCAAAAUCGUUUUAAAAUACAGCUAUUGACUUCAGAAACAUUCUAGUAGAAAUUUCUAGUGCUUACCACAUGUCUGGUUCUCCUCUGCUUUCAGGCACAUACAUUUGGUGGGCAAAGUGAAUACUUGUAGCCGAU